rnacentral:sRNA from 1 species
UCAACAUUCGGUGCUGCAUGUAGCGGCGAC